rnacentral:rRNA from 1 species
UACGUAGGGUGCGAGCGUUAAUCGGAAUUACUGGGCGUAAAGCGUGCGCAGGCGGUUUUGUAAGCCAGAUGUGAAAUCCCCGGGCUUAACCUGGGAAUGGCAUUUGGGACUGCAAGGCUGGAGUGCGGCAGAGGAGACUGGAAUUCCUGGUGUAGCAGUGAAAUGCGUAGAUAUCAGGAAGAACACCCGUGGCGAAGGCGGCUCUCUGGAACGCAACUGACGCUGAGACGCGAAAGCGUGGGGAGCAAACAGG